rnacentral:rRNA from 1 species
UGCGCAGGCGGCUUACUAAGUCAGUGGUGAAAUCUUGCGGCUCAACCGUAAAAUUGCCAUUGAUACUGGUAAGCUUGAAUUCAGUUGAGGUUGGCGGAAUGUGUAACGUAGCGGUGAAAUGCUUAGAUAUUACACAGAACACCGAUUGCGAAGGCAGCUAGCUAAGCUGACAUUGACGCUGAGGCACGAAAGCGUGGGGAGCGAACAGGAUUAGAUACCCUGGUAGUCC